rnacentral:rRNA from 1 species
CCUACGGGAGGCAGCAGUGAGGAAUAUUGGUCAAUGGGCGCGAGCCUGAACCAGCCAAGCAGCGUGAAUGAUGACUGCCCUCCGGGUUGUAAGCUUUUUUUAUAAAGGAAUAAAGUGAGGCACGUGUGCCUUUUUGUAUGUACUUCAUGAAUAAGGAUCGGCGAACUCCGCGUCAGCAGCCGCGGUAAUACGGAGGAUCCGAGCGUUAUCCGGAUUUAUUGGGGUUAACGGGAGCGUAGAUGGGGUGUUAAGUCAGACGUGAAAGGUAGCGGCUCAACCGUAAAAUUGCAAUUGAUACUGGCAGUCUUGAGUACAGGAGAGGUAGGCGGAAUUCGUGGUGUAGCGGUGAAAUGCUUAGAUAUCACGAAGAACUCCGAUGGCGAAGGCAGCUUACUGGACUGCCACUGACGUUGAUGCUCGAAAGUGUGGGUAUCAAACAGGAUUAGAUACCCUAGUAGUC